GCGCCGCCGCCGCCGCUGCUUGUCUCUCCGACCCUCUCCCGCCGCAACAAAUUUGGGAACGGCGGGGAGCGCUGCGGGGCAGAGCGCAGCUGAAGAGGAAGGACGCUCUUGACUCUAGCGUCCAGGAUUGGACGCUGUAGCUAUGUGCGUCCAGGUCGGGAUGUUGCUUGUAAAAACGUCCAUAACCUGGUUCGCAUGCGUCAUGUGUCCAGCCAAAAUGGAUCGCGUAUUUGGGGUCUCUGGGUGCCGAAGUCUACGCUGUUGGCUACUAGAAGUCAGUGAGUUUCCUCUCCAUUCACCUAUCACUGAAAAAAAGAUCGGCGAUUGACGUUUUGUGUCCUUAAUUAUUUUCUGCGCCCCUGUAUUUAGCUAUUGAAGUGCAAAUAGCUUUGCCUUCAUCCCUUUCUCUAACAGACUGUAUACGUUAUCAAUUUUGUCAAUGUGAUGCAAUCAUUUGCUCUA